AUUGAACGCUGGAGGUAUGCUUAACACAUGCAAGUCGAACGGUAACGAUGGGUGCUUGCACCCAGGCGACGAGUGGCGGACGGGUGAGUAACGCGUAGGAAUAUACCUAGUAGUGGGGGAUAACAUGGAGAAAUCCAUGCUAAUACCGCAUAUGUCCCAUGGGAUAAAGAGGGCCUCUUCUUGAAAGCUCUUGCUAUUAGAUUAGCCUGCGUCGGAUUAGCUUGUUGGUGAGGUAAUGGCUCACCAAGGCGACGAUCCGUAGCUGGUCUGAGAGGAUGAUCAGCCACACUGGGACUGAGACACGGCCCAGACUCCUACGGGAGGCAGCAGUGGGGAAUAUUGGACAAUGGGCGCAAGCCUGAUCCAGCAAUACCUCGUGUGUGAAGAAGGCCUUAGGGUUGUAAAGCACUUUCAAUUGGGACGAAGAGUGUAAGUUUAAUAAACUUAUACUUUGACGGUACCUUUAGAAGAAGCACCGGCUAACUCCG
rnacentral:rRNA from 1 species